CAAAAGUUGAUAGUGGAAGGACUUUUGUUUGAUGAAAUCAACCGUCUUGGAAAGAGAGCUUGAGGCCCACUGAUUGUGUUGUUUUAAAGACCAUAUUGUUGGUGAGGAAUUGAUUGCUGAUUAUCUGUUGUAUAUCUUGAACAAAGAAAAACGUUUUGAAUAUGUGGAAAGCUUUGGCCUCAGGAACCCUAGUGAUAAUGUGAACUUCGUCAUGAGACAGUGG